UAUAUCUUGUUUUUUUUACUUUUCGUCUUCUUUUUUUUUCUUUUUUUUCGAUAUAGCGAAUUUUUCCAAAUAAGGGCAAUUCCAAAAAUUUGAUCGCUAAGGAAAGAGCGUUAUCCCAAUUUUUAGCUACAAGUGUCAUAUUCCAUAAAAAAUAGUUCACUAACCUCUACUCAACCCUUAAAAACAAGCCAUGGUUGAGAAAAUCAAACCGAACCAGCUAAUUGAACAGAUCCGACCGUGAACCUAUCACUUCUCCGAUAGUGGCUCAACCGGUUGAGUAAAAUGGUCAAAACCUGUCGUUGACCCAAUUUGACCGGUAAAAUUGCUGGUUGGACCAGUUAAAA
rnacentral:lncRNA from 1 species